AACACUCUCAAAUUUUGCUGGAAUUUCAAGAACAAGGCAGAAACUUUCUAGUGCAAAAAGUUUACCAUGGGUGACCUCGGUGUUCCAUCCUCCAACUCUCCAACUUUCCACGGGAUUACCAAAGGAACGCUUUGCAAAACCGUUGAUGAGGUUGACAUUGAUCAAAUCUAGUAGGGAAGACUUCGAAACACAUUUAGAAAUACUAGAUUUCAUUAUCGUAUUAUUGUUGAAUUUUGUCGUACUUUAUCUUUUCAAUGUUGUACUUUGAUUUCAUAUGUU
rnacentral:lncRNA from 1 species